CGACAGGAGAACAACCGUUGCGAACAACAUAAACAAAAAAGACAAAAAACUUCCAAAAUGUGCCUGGACUCAAGCCAAGCCUAAUCAGGCGAUCAGCACACGACGAGAUGCAGAAGCUUGUGGAGUCCCAGAUCCCUCCACGACAAGUGUUCUCCUUUUCUUCAGCAUGGUAGAAACCGAGGGGCUUCUGCCGCCUUGCUCUCCAGCGCAGCCAAGCACUUGUCCAGUUUCGCAUAUCUCUUCUUGGGGCAUAGCACCCUCCAUCUCUUCAGCAGACACA
rnacentral:lncRNA from 1 species